GACGAACGCUGGCGGCGUGGAUUAGGCAUGCAAGUCGAACGGUAUCAUCCUUUCGGGGGUGAGAGAGUGGCGAACUGGUGAGUAACACGUAGGUUAUCUACCCUCAAGACGGGGACAACCCAGGGAAACUUGGGCUAAUACCGGAUGUGAGCAACUUUUAGUUGUUUGAAAGGUGGCGUAAGCUGUCGCUUGGGGAUGAGCCUGCGCCCUAUUAGUUAGUUGGUGAGGUAACGGCUCACCUAGGCAAUGAUAGGUAGGCGGCCUUAACGGGUGGUCGCCCACACUGGGAUUGAGAUACGGCCCAGACUCCUACGGGAGGCAGCAGUCGAGAAUAGUCUACAAUGGUCGGAAGACUGAUAGUGCGACGCCGCGUGAACGAUGAAUCCCUUCGGGGUGUAAAGUUCUUUUAUAUGUGAGCAGUGCUUCUUAUAUUAACAGUAUGGGGAGAGAGAUAUUAGCAUAUGAAUAAGCAACGGCUAACUCCGUG
rnacentral:rRNA from 1 species